rnacentral:lncRNA from 1 species
AUGAAACCGGAAAGUAUGUAUUGUAAUUAGGAAGGAAAUGUAGAACAUGUUAUAACAAAAUUUCCAAUAAAGAAGAUCUUAUUUUAGAAUAUCAAGAGUUAUACAUUUGACCAUUAUUCUUAAUUAAGCGUAAAUGGUUGUGAUAUGCUUAUGACUCGCGAAUGUAAUGCUCGGCUAACUGGAAUAAACCACGCUUAAUGACGCAUGCAGCCUGCAAACGCGACCUACGGAAGAUGCAGCCUUCCGCUUGAGAAACGGUUUAGUGAAUUCAAGGGGAAGAUGCACCUCAAAGUUUUAUGCCAUCCGCCAUGGAUUUAAGAUAUACUUUUAUCUUCCUGAUUAUUAUCCGUACAACUGGGCGAUAUUAAUUGAUUAGCAACACUGAUGGCCGCAGCUAGUGAAAACUGUCUUGAGCACAUUUCCAACGCAAAACGAAGAAGACUCGACACGAAUGAUUCAAGACACAUCGCUGCUCUUAUUCUUGCACGUGGAGUGAGUAAAGGCAUCCCUCUGAAGAACAUAAAGAUGCUGGCAGGAGUUCCUGAUCGGAUGGGUGAUCAGAGCGCUGGACUCUGGGGUGUUCGACAGGAUGGAUCGUGUGCAAAUUGGGACGCAGGCCAUACCUAUUCGUUACAGGUUUGAACGACAUGUUUCCUGGAAACGUGUGCAACGGGGUGAGAUAUGUUUUCUCUUGUUUGGUGGGUGUGUCAAACAUGUCAGCAACAUAUAAACCACGCGGUAUUAAAGACGCAGCUCGCACAAUGUAAUUAACAUCAAAAUAAAUUCACAAGAGCAAGUAUAUUGUUUGCAUAUGUUCAGGGCUCGCAAAAUCGCUAGCCCGACGUAGUGAUGUAAAAUUCCUAACUUGAUUCGCGGGGGUGAAACGGAUCGCAGUUGAUAGUUUGCAGUUGUUUCUAAGUCUUGCUGAUUUAAACAUUCAAGCGUUUUAUAAUCCGUUCGCGCGCAUUCGGAGCUUGCGCGCACUCAUUCAAAGCGCGCACAGAGAGCCGCAUUUCAGAAAAUGCGCAUACACGAAAUUGAUUCCUCUUUCUCGUAUCCUUGCUUCUGAACGGACAUAUACACACAAAAUUAUCUCAAAAUAAUUGUCUCUGCAAGUAUUCUCGUAAACACAGUCAGUUAUGUCUUAAGUGAACGUAUACAGUUGAGAAAGAAAUCUCCUGUGCAUUAUUAUAUUGGAUCCGUGCAUUCGGUCUUAAAGGGGCAGCAGCCUUUAAAUACCUGGUGUUCCAUUAAUGCCACCUGCUGUCAGAGAGUGACAUUUGCGUCUCAUUCACAAAACUAAAAUCAGACCAUUUGGUUUUUGCUUCAAAUUUUUAAAUUAUACAAUCCAAAUAACAUGUAUUUACCAUCUUUUUUGGAUAGUAAUUCAAAUGGUUGCCUCUGAUUUUAAAUAAAGCACAGAUAAAGCCUUUGUUUAUAUGAAGAGAUUUCUUUUAGUUAUAUAUAUUUUUUUAUUUGAUUUGGGAUUUGUUUUAAAAUUUCAAAUUAGUUUUAUUAUUUAACAUUUUAAUUUCACAAAGAAAU